rnacentral:lncRNA from 1 species
AUUUUUGGAAAGGGGGAGGUGCUUUCCUAGUGGCCAAAUGACUUGUGGGGGGACCACAGUCUGGAGGUGGAGGCUGGCCUGCCUCCUGGCUGGAGGAAGAUCCACGAUGCUGCAGGUACUUACUACUGGCAUGUACCCAGCGGUAGCACCCAGUGGCAGCGCCCAACCUGGGAACUAGGAGAUGCAGAGGACCCAGGCACGGUAGGUAGAGUGUGAGGAGGAGGUCUGAGCCCAUGUGUGGACCUAGGUCUGCUGUUAAACUGACUAACUCCCACUCUACAGGGAACGGAGGGGAUCUGGGGACUGCGGCCCCCCAAAGGGAGAUCCUUCUCCAGCCUGGAGAGUUCACUGGACCGGAGGUAACGGGUGGCCCAGGCAAAAUGAAAGGCUUGGGGUUCCAUGGUGUUCAAAAAUGCAGCUGGACCCAUGGUCUGCUUUCCAGCCCAGGUUCUGGAUUCUGUCACAUGUUUUGGGUUCUGUUACGUUCUUGGCUCUGUCCCAGGUUCUUAACUGUCAGUAUUUUGAGUUUUAUCCCUUGUUCUAAGCU